rnacentral:rRNA from 1 species
CAAUAGCGUAUAUUAAAGUUGUUGCGGUUAAAAAGCUCGUAGUUGGAUCUCGGCAGGCAGGGGGUGGUUCGCUCUUAGCGCUACUGCCCCAUUUGCCUGUGUGAUUGGCGGAGGUUUCGGGGUGCUCUUCGUUGAGUGACCCGGGGCGCCGUCAGGUUUACUUUGAAAAAAUUAGAGUGCUCAAAGCAGGCUUUUCACGCUUUAAUAUUCGUGCAUGGAAUAAUGGAAUAGGAACUCGUUUCUAUUUUGUUGGUUUUCGGAAAUCGAGUUAAUGAUUAAUAGGGACAAUUGGGGGCAUUAGUAUUCAGACGACAGAGGUGAAAUUCUUGGACCGUCUGAAGACUAACUACUGCGAAAGCAUUUGCCAAGAGUGUUUUCAUUAA